UGUAUGUAUAUGCAUGUGUACAUAUAUAUAAAAAAUAUAUAUAAAUGCACAUACGCUUUGUAAUAGAAACAUAAAAUGGAAAAUUUUCAUGUUUAAAGUACUCUUAUAUGAAGCUGUAAUUACACCUAUUCAUUCUCUUCCCCCAUUGACUUUUUAGCAUGCAUCUCAUCUUCUCAUCUAACUUUUACAUGCGACUGCAUUGCCAGUGGAAAGUGUCUGAUUUUUACCAGUUCAAGUGAAAGCAGAAAGUCAUGAGAUGCUUUUAAAAUACCGCGUAACAGUAUAUGAAAAAAUUUGAAUUAACUUUUGAAGAACACAAUCUGGAUUGUGAAUCUCCUAAAUUGAGGUUUUUGCCAAAGCUUUGUGGUUAAAUCCCAUUUUUUAUUUACCUGCACUAUGGAAAAACUAAUAUAGAUAUUCUCCUUUCACUAAAACUUGGAUUUACUGGAAAAGACAGACGCGAUUGAAACACUGAGAUACACUGAGAUACACUGUAGCUUAAAAAAAAAGAUAGUUGUAGAAUAAAUUGCCAUAGUUUACAAAACUGACCACAGAGCUUACAAAAAUAAAAGAAUUAAAAGAAUGUACCAGGCAUUUCAGAUGUGAUUCUCUUUCUAAGUGAAAUAAUUAUAAAGUUUCAGUGUAUUAAAUUAGGUUUUCCUAUUUCUUAAUCUCUCAGUAUUUCAUUAAUAAGGGAUAUUUCAGAAUUUCGCGUAAUGUGCUGAAUUCUGUUGAUGACCAAAAAACAAACAAACAAACCCAGAAAGACCAAUUAAGGACACUCAUAAAAAUUUAAUGGUCUAAAUUAUCUAGUGAGUAAUCUACACCUCUUGAAACAUUAAGCAAUCUUUUUCUAGAAAAGGAAAGUGUCUUAUACUUAACUUUCAUUUGACAAAAUACCUUUUCCCUCACUGCAGUGAAAUACAGACUAACUUACCUGGAAUUUCAUUAAAUUAUCUGCGAGUUUGUCACAUUGAUUACUGUUUCUAAGCCUUUAAAAUCAAUAUAAUAAAAUGCUGAUGAACUUAGAGUGUACAGAACUAAAAGCUCUGAGCUACAGGCUUUUUUUUGUUUAGUGUGGUAUGUACAAUGUCUAGCUAGCUCCAGGAAUUGCCAUUACUAUUUAAUGACUUUGUAUUUAACAGUGCUUGGUUUUAAUAACUGUUUAGGGGAUUUGGUUUCCAUACAUUACGUGUUAUCUACGAAACACCAGAGUUUAACAGGCAUUGCUCAUUUUAAAGGCAGCUCUUUUUUGGGGGGUUUUGUUUGUUCUACAUUUCAUGCUUGAUCAGAAAAUGUAUUUUUUGUAUUUAGAAGUUUACUUUAUGCUUUGACUAGUAAUUUUUUAUCCUGUUCGUCUUUCAGUCUCAUGUACAGUAGGAUAUCUUUGCAGCAAACAAAAUUGUGAUCACUUUCAUGUAGCACAUUCCAGAAACAGAAUCUCCUCCAUUUUCCUAUCUCUGAAAAUGAAGAAAAUGGAUGACAACUAUGCCUGAUCUACCUCUGCUGAGGUAGGAGUUCCCUGUCAAUGGUAUGGCUCCCACACCAAGCAGCCUAGCAGAAACAAAAUGAAAGAUCAGGAAUGUUUAAAAGGACAUUAUUUUUCAGGUAUUAUUCAGCCUAACAUUAGACUACUCAUUGCUGAUACAUAAUUUGUUUUACAUGGGGGUAAGACCUACUACAGAAAUGGUCUAACAGUAUAUUGACAAGUGAUUCCUUUUUCACCCCCAUUAGUGUCUUCUAUGCUGUGCAGUGACUUGUGACUAUGGAAUCUGUUUACGGCAAAAGAUUCAUAUGGUUAAGUUUUCUGUCUGUUUACUCAAAUAAAUGUUUUCAAUUUAACACAACAAUUUGUAAUGAAUACUGUGAAACACACUUAAAAGAAUGAGUUCUUGAAAUAGAAAUAAUAAUAAAAAUGCUUUCCUCCUCUCAAAAAUAUUUAUUUUAACAUGUGGUCACAUUUUUCUGCAUUUUCACAUUAGUUGAGAUCUUACUGUUCUAGAAAAAAAAUAAUCUUUUUUUCCCCAUCAUCUAGUUUUCCAGUUCUAACGCAAAUUAAAGAAUGCAUGCACAGGCAUAAUUUGUGGUUUUAAAACAAGGGAAUGUGUAAAUUCAUGAUAUCUUUAAAAAGCACCGUGUCAAGCAGUGCUCUCAUGAAGCUUGUAGUUUACAAUUUACAUUUCACUUUAGUAUAAGGUUUGUGUGACAAACCUUUGAUUGUCUUGUGAGAUGCUCUAAACAGUGUUAAUUUCACAUAUUUAUUACAAAGGACUUAGUUGAUAUUCAGAAAGAACUUCUAAGCCUCAGAAUGACAGCUGAAGCUCCACAUACUGAGCAGUCUACGGACAACAAAUCCUUUUGAUUUAUUUGGAAAUUACCAGGAUAACUCAUUUAUUUUAAAGGAGGCAGAUGGAGAGCACAGAGUACACCCUCAGCCAGCACUCUCUAGCUUCUGCUGUUCUUGUAUGUAAUCCUCUAUGUUCUUUCCAUUCAGAGUCAUAGAAACUGUUUGAAAGAGAGCCGAGUGUAAGUAUCCAGUCAGUUUAAAGAAACUUUUCUUGGCAACAGGAGCUAAAAUCAAGUACUGUAUCAAGUUAAAUGCAAAGCACCCUACAAAGCUUAUCUGCUUUCUCUUGAAGAAAGAGAGUAACCAUGAGCCUGGAGCUGAAUCACCCUGUGCUGUGGAAGUUCUACCCGUCAGCACCUGCUGAGGGCUUCGUUGAUCAAAAAAAUCAGGGGCACCCUUUCAGAUAGGAACAUGGACCUUAUUGGCAUCAUCUUGUAUCCAUGGAAACAUUUUAAGUACCUCUCUCUCAAUAUGUACUUCUCUUAUUCAGAGUUCAAGAGCUGAGUACCAAAUAAGCUUGUACAGUGAAAGACUCUGGUACUGAAGGGCAGCAUUGGAUUGUGUAGCAUUUAAUAGUGUCUAAUUACAAAACUAUCUUCCUCUUCUUGCAACCCAGUGACACACUCUUCUCCAACCAAAUUCUGAAAAAAAAAAACCUUGGACAACAGUCUUCUUCAACAAACAAGCCCAACUCAAGCCCAGAAACUGGUCUACUCUCUAUACAGAAUGAGGCUGAACUCUGAUAGAAACAGAAGUUUAUGACAGAGAAUUUGAAGAGUGUGACAUGAUACAUGCAACAAAGGGAGGAAUGAGAUAAUUUAAAGAUGCACUCCUCAUCUUAAUUCUAAUAUAUCCCUGUAUUUUAAGACUUGAUGCUAUAAUGUAAAUGUCUUUAUAAAAAAAAUCUUGUUAUGGUAAAUCAUGGGCAGCAUCACCUGUGCCUCCUUUAAUUAUCGUAUUUCAAAUCAAAGUAACAGAAAAUGUAACAAAAAGAGCUUUGCUCUUAACAGAAACCAAUAUUAGUUUAGCAUUUUGCAUUGUUAGAUUAAAAGGAUGUGAUGCAAUAAAAGACACAUUGCAGGAAGAUGUAUUAGUGUUUACAUACUCUGUGAAAUUCGGGGUGAAAAUACUCUUCUCUUACUGUUUUGCAUAAAUAUUUGUACCCCAAUACUCUGAGCUCAGAGAGCAGCAGUUUAACUCAUAUUUCAUUCUCAGGCUCUGUGGUUGAAAACCUAAAUCUCAUAAAUGAAGGACUGUAAUUAUCAGAUAGUAAAUCUCUCUCUCAGCAGUUAUUAUUUAAGGUCAAUUACAGUGAAGAACUUUUCAAUCUGGACUUAUUAUUAAAGGAAAUCUUUCAUGCAGAAUUGAUGAAACAGGAGAGCUUCUCCCUGUACCCCAUCUGCUCUCUGCUUUUUGUGUUCCUUCACUACAGCUGCAGUCAUUACCAGGCUGACUCCACUUUGAAAAACUAAAACCACAUUCUUCAGAACAGUUGCUUGGUGUUGGUCAGAUUUCUCUGCAGACUUUUUUUUUCCACUUGGAGACAUGGAGGCUGACACAUAGUUUCCAAGGACUUUGCAUGUCUUCUGUCUCCAGAAUCGUCUUCUGAAUCCCAAAUAUUUCUCAAGUGGCUAGCAAAAGAAUAUCCAGAUCAUUUUUGACCUGGUGGGACAUGCUUUGAGUAGAGAGCCAGAUGGCUGAGAAAAUGGAUUGUAAAGUAUUAUUUCAUGUUAACUUGUUGUCUUUAAUAUGUGUGUGCUUUCAUUGUUACAGUUAGAGCAUUCACAAGAUCUGAAGAGACUAUGAAAUCCCACUAACUCUAGCAGCAAUUGCUGCCUUUGUUGCUCAGACUGUAAAUUAUGAUUCAUGUUAAAAUGCAAUAAUGCAACUUGAAAAAAAUAAAAGAUGAGCAAUAAGCUAAACAAAAAGAGCUUGUUGCCUUUCCCAAAACAACUCUUUUUCAUUCCUGACCUAGGUUUACUUUUUUCCCUCCUUUUAGCAUCCUUUACAUUAUAUACUAAAAAUAAAUUCAUUGAAGGGUCAAACUUUAACUCCAAAAUCACUGCCUUUGAUAUCCUUUCAGGCAUUAAAAAAAAAAAAAUCAAACACUGAAUAAUUUAAAAAGUUAACAAAAUUUUGUUUAUGGUAAGUCUAAGUAAACGUAAUAAAAAUAACCUUUAAACAUGUUGUUUCAAUUCAG